rnacentral:rRNA from 1 species
UACGGAGGGGGCUAGCGUUGUUCGGAAUUACUGGGCGUAAAGCGCGCGUAGGCGGCUUAGCAAGUUAGAGGUGAAAGCCCGAAGCUCAACUUCGGAAUUGCCUUUAAAACUGCAAGGCUAGAAUCGUGGAGAGGUGAGUGGAAUUCCGAGUGUAGAGGUGAAAUUCGUAGAUAUUCGGAAGAACACCAGUGGCGAAGGCGACUCACUGGACACGUAUUGACGCUGAGGUGCGAAAGCGUGGGGAGCAAACAGG